UAGAAGCCAUCACUCACAGUCCCUGC
rnacentral:piRNA from 1 species